CUUGUACUCCCUCCAUCCGGAAAUACUUGUCAUUGAAAUGGAUGUAUCUAGAUGUAUUUUAGUUCUAGACACAUCCAUUUUGAUGACAAGUAAUUCUGGACAGAGGGAGUACUUG
rnacentral:pre_miRNA from 1 species